GUACAGCAUCAGCUGCUAAAAAUCAAACUUAGUGAUGCCACAGGUGGCAAUGGUUACAUAAUUUGUGGGCCUUCUCACAAGUUAAAAUCCUGAGCCUCCUGUUCAAGGAAUGAUCUCUCUUAUGUGCCUCCAGCAAGAUGCCGUCUAGCAUGCUGUGAUGAACCCAGAAAGCCCUUACCAUACCUGAGCAAAUGCUGGGGUCAUGCUCUUGAAUCCCCAGAACUGAUCAGCCAAUCCACAUCUCUUCUCCUGAAGACACAAGGGAUCAACAGGACACCGAAAGGGAAGACAAUAGAACAACCAACCCGGGAAGGCACAUCUGUUGCUAAGCUGGCCACCUUCUCCAGUAUACUUCCUCUUGUGACUGAAGCUCCACUUAGAACAAAUUUGGCACGCAGAAGGAGCCAUGCACAGGCUGUUCUGUGUUGCUAAGAUGGGUUUUGGGAACCUUGCAAAAAAGGGACCAGAGUUUCUGGUUGCAGGGCCAGAGUGGAAAUCAUCCACACAGCAGAAGAAGAAGCUCUGGAGGUCGCCUCUGCUUAGGUCGAUCUUGGUAACUUAUGCUCUACAGCAGGAGACUGUUCAGUAUCUAAACUGGAUUGAGUGGAAAAUCUGA
rnacentral:lncRNA from 1 species